rfam:Maribacter sp. HTCC2170, complete genome.
CAACCUCUGACGAAAAUCGUGAAUGUUG